rnacentral:rRNA from 1 species
GAUGAACGCUAGCGGCAGGCCUAAUACAUGCAAGUCGAACGAUAGAAGAGGGCUUGCUCUCUUCGAAAGUGGCGCACGGGUGCGUAACGCGUAUGCAACCUACCUUAAUCAGGGGGAUAGCCCGAAGAAAUUCGGAUUAACACCGCAUAAAAUCACAAUACAGCAUUGUACAAUGAUCAAAUAUUUAUAGGAUUAAGAUGGGCAUGCGUGACAUUAGCUAGUUGGCGGGGUAACAGCCCACCAAGGCGACGAUGUCUAGGGGAACUGAGAGGAUGACCCCCCACGCUGGUACUGAGACACGGACCAGACUCCUACGGGAGGCAGCAGUAAGGAAUAUUGGUCAAUGGAGGCAACUCUGAACCAGCCAUGCCGCGUGCAGGAAGACGGCCCUCUGGGUUGUAAACUGCUUUUAUUCGGGAAUAAACCUCAUUAUGUAUAGUGAGCUGAAUGUACCGAAGGAAUAAGGAUCGGCUAACUCCGUGCCAGCCGCCGCCGUAA